rnacentral:rRNA from 1 species
UACGGAGGGUGCAAGCGUUGUUCGGAAUUACUGGGCGUAAAGGGCCAGUAGGCGGCCAACUAAGUCCGACGUGAAAUCCCAAAGCUUAACUUUGGAACUGCGUCGGAUACUGGAUGGCUUGAAUUCGGGAGAGGGAUGCAGAAUUCCAGGUGUAGCGGUGAAAUGCGUAGAUAUCUGGAGGAAUACCGGUGGCGAAGGCGGCAUCCUGGACCGACAUUGACGCUGAACGGCGAAAGCUAGGGGAGCAAACGGG